rnacentral:lncRNA from 1 species
GUAAAAUGGCGUGUGCGCCCGGGUCCAAAAGGAGGUUAAUUAUGUCCAACGACUCAAGCAGGACUUGAAGGUCAUAUCUUCCUGGUCCUAACCAAACUGCUUUGAGAAUUCCAGGACUCAGGGACACAAAGUCUGGUCGCUAAGUGUGUGUGUGUGUGCGCUGUUCACUUACAGCGGCUUGAGUUUGAACAGCAGAGGGCAAGCGUGGUGAAGCAGCAGUAUCUGUCUGACUUCACGUUGGGUAGAACCACAGAGUACCAUGACAGGAGAGAGAGCACCAGCCUCAGUGAGUAUUCGUAUUGAACCCCGAGACCUACAAGAUGCUCCAACAUUUAAAUCUAGAAGUGUAUCUAAACCCCAUCGCACUAAAACUAUUCCACAGCCCUGCUUUCAAGGGAUUUACAUGGGUACAUGUUUUACUAUCCAUGAGAGGUUAGAUUAGAUUUGGACUGAGGGUAAAGAUUUUGGGGAAGAAUUUGGACCUAUUCACAAUGACCGCAGUUACUCAGAAACAGUAGCCAGCUAGAGAGUUUUUCAUUCUGCUAAUUGUGCCACAAACCACUAACACACUGUAACAACCACCUACCCCAAAAAUGUCCUCAAGUGUAGCAGUAACAGUCUGCCCCUGCACCCUCGAAGGUCUCUCGGGCUCGGAUCACAUGAUCUUGUCCGGCUGCCCAGCCAGGCCCUCUCCCGCUGAGUCCGGGGUCACCCACUGGUCCGUGUCAUCGGGGUGGCGGCCAGGUGGUGGCGGGUUUGGAGUUUACACGCCCGGCACCCCAGACCUGUACUCUGCCCUCCUUCACCCCGGCAACAGCAGGUCCUGUGAGACCGUUGCCCAAUCGGAGACCUGGCAUGAAGAGACAGGAAGAGUCCCACACGCUCACUUUGGUCCCCACCCUGACUGGUCCAUUUAAUAUGAUUGUAGGCAUCGUUUUCCACUGCAGAACACUGCUGGUUUCAGGUCUACCUGUGGUCCCUUGCAGCCUCUGUUCUUUAAAAAUGUUUUUCUUUUGGAUUAAUAAAGUUUUAUAGAUUAACUAACUAGCUCGCUGUGAUCCAGUCCUUCUCGGCUCGCAGACACUAAAAUUAAUCGAUGCAAGAAACUCCUUAGAAGUAGUUAACUG